rnacentral:rRNA from 1 species
CGUCGAGCAGGUACGAAAGUAGGUCUUAGUGAUCCGGUGGUUCUGUAUGGAAGGGCCAUCGCUCAACGGAUAAAAGGUACUCCGGGGAUAACAGGCUGAUACCGCCCAAGAGUUCAUAUCGACGGCGGUGUUUGGCACCUCGAUGUCGGCUCAUCACAUCCUGGGGCUGAAGCCGGUCCCAAGGGUAUGGCUGUUCGCCAUUUAAAGUGGUACGCGAGCUGGGUUUAGAACGUCGUGAGACAGUUCGGUCCCUAUCUGCCGUGGACGUUUGAGAUUUGAGAGGGGCUGCUCCUAGUACGAGAGGACCGGAGUGGACGAACCUCUGGUGUUCCGGUUGUCACGCCAGUGGCAUUGCCGGGUAGCUAUGUUCGGAAAAGAUAACCGCUGAAAGCAUCUAAGCGGGAAACUUGCCUCAAGAUGAGAUCUCACUGGGAACUUGAUUCCCCUGAAGGGCCGUCGAAGACUACGACGUUGAUAGGCUGGGUGUGUAAGCGUUGUGAGGCGUUGAGCUAACCAGUACUAAUUGCCCGUGAGGCUUGACCAU